rnacentral:rRNA from 1 species
GAGUGAAGAAGGCCUUCGGGUUGUAAAGCUCUUUUGUCAGGGAAGAAACGGUGCGGGCUAAUAUCCUGCACUAAUGACGGUACCUGAAGAAUAAGCACCGGCUAACUACGUGCCAGCAGCCGCGGUAAUACGUAGGGUGCAAGCGUUAAUCGGAAUUACUGGGCGUAAAGCGUGCGCAGGCGGUUUUGUAAGUCUGUCGUGAAAUCCCCGGGCUCAACCUGGGAAUUGCGAUGGAGACUGCAAGGCUAGAAUCUGGCAGAGGGGGGUAGAAUUCCACGUGUAGCAGUGAAAUGCGUAGAGAUGUGGAGGAAUACCGAUGGCGAAGGCAGCCCCCUGGGAUAACACUGACGCUCAUGCACGAAAGCGUGGGGAGCAAACAGGAUUAGAUACCCUGGUAGUCCACGCCCUAAACGAUGUCUACUAGUUGUCGGGACUUAAUUGUCUUGGUAACGCAGCUAACGCGUGAAGUAGACCGCCUGGGGAGUACGGUCGCAAGAUUAAAACUCAAAGGAAUUGACGGGGACCCGCACAAGCGGUGGAUGAUGUGGAUUAAUUCGAUGCAACGCGAAAAACCUUACCUACCCUUGACAUGUACGGAAGCCACGAGAGAUCGAGGUGUG